rnacentral:rRNA from 1 species
GACGAACGCUGGCGGCGUGCUUAACACAUGCAAGUCGAACGGAAAGGCCCUGCUUUUGUGGGGUGCUCGAGUGGCGAACGGGUGAGUAACACGUGAGUAACCUGCCCUUGACUUUGGGAUAACUUCAGGAAACUGGGGCUAAUACCGGAUAGGAGCUCCUGCUGCAUGGUGGGGGUUGGAAAGUUUCGGCGGUUGGGGAUGGACUCGCGGCUUAUCAGCUUGUUGGUGGGGUAGUGGCUUACCAAGGCUUUGACGGGUAGCCGGCCUGAGAGGGUGACCGGACACAUUGGGACUGAGAUACGGCCCAGACUCCUACGGGAGGCAGCAGUGGGGAAUAUUGCACAAUGGGCGGAAGCCUGAUGCAGCAACGCCGCGUGCGGGAUGACGGCCUUCGGGUUGUAAACCGCUUUCGCCUGUGACGAAGCGUAAGUGACGGUAAUGGGUAAAGAAGCACCGGCUAACUACGUG